rnacentral:rRNA from 1 species
AGGGGAAUAUUGGACAAUGGGCGCAAGCCUGAUCCAGCCAUGCCGCGUGAGUGAUGAAGGCCCUAGGGUUGUAAAGCUCUUUCACCGGUGAAGAUAACGACGGUAACCGGAGAAGAAGUCCCGGCUAACUGCGUGCCAGCAGCCGCGGUAAUACGCAGGGGGCUAGCGUUGUGCGGAUUUACUGGGCGUAAAGCGCACGUAGGCGGGCUAUUAAGUCAGGGGUGAAAUCCCGGGGCUCAACCCCGUAACUGCCUUUGAGUGUGGUUGUCUUGAGUUCGAGAGAGGUGAGGAGAAUGCCGUGUGUAGAGGUGAAAUGCGUAUAUAUGCGGGGGAACACCGGUGGCGAAGGCGUCUCACUGGCUCGAUACUGACUCUGAGGUGCGAAAGCGUGGGGAGCAAACAGG